UUCUUCAUUUCCCUUUCAAUUCAUCUUUAUACUUUCUCUUCAUCUUCUUCUCUUUCUUCAAUCUCAAAAGCCAUUUUGGUCCAACAACUGUAAUAGACCAUUUUUUAUUUAUUAUGCUUUCUCUUUAUUUUUCUUUCCUUCUCCAUUUCAUUCUUUUUUCUUCCGACGAUCUAAAAACCGAACAUCCCUCAUUUCAUACUCUUUUCUUCCGACGAUCUAAAAUCCGUCCUUGAUCUCUUUAAAUUCACCCAACAAUGAACACAAAAGUGAAGAAGACAACGAAGAAAUAGAACUAAGUUCUAUUUUAAUUUUUAAAAAAAAUUGAAGAAGCUAUCUAGGAUGAAGGUGCGAGGAAACAAUGAAGGUUUCAGUUUUUACGCGUCAAUAGAGGUUUCAGAUGUUGCCGUCAAUGGUGGUUAUUUCUAGCGGUGGUUUUGCUCUGAUCCAAAGGCUAUGGAUGUUCUAUGGUGGUGGUGUAGUGAUUUGGGUUAAUAAUGAUAAAGAGGAAUUGAGAGAAUAGUAGAUGAAUUUAUUUUUCAUGGGUCGUGCUCUAUUUUUCGUUGUGCCUCUCCUUCUUCUCAAAG
rnacentral:lncRNA from 1 species